GUAUCUAGCUGAAGGUACUGUACGAAUAAGCACCGGCUAACUCCGUGCCAGCAGCCGCGGUAAUACGGAGGGUGCAAGCGUUUAUCCGGAUUUAUUGGGUUUAAAGGGUCCGUAGGCGGAUCUGUAAGUCAGUGGUGAAAUCUCGCAGCUUAACUGUGAAACUGCCAUUGAUACUGCAGGUCUUGAGUGUAGUUGAAGUAGCUGGAAUAAGUAGUGUAGCGGUGAAAUGCAUAGAUAUUACUUAGAACACCAAUUGCGAAGGCAGGUUACUAAGUUACAACUGACGCUGAUGGACGAAAGCGUGGGGAGCGAACAGGAUUAGAUACCCUGGUAGUCCACGCUGUAAACGAUGCUAACUCGUUUUGGGUUUUCGGAUUCAGAGACUAAGCGAAAGUGAUAAGUUAGCCGCCUGGGGAGUACGGCCGCAAGGUU
rnacentral:rRNA from 1 species